AACGCACCUUGCGCUCCUCGGUAUUCCGAGGAGCAUGCCUGUUUGAGGGUCGUGAGGGAAAGGGGCCUCUAAGUGGCACCCGGACAACUGCCAUCGGGCCGCGAUCACCGUGACCGAGGUGAAGUUGGAUGUGGAGGUGGCAUCUUGCUGUUUGCUGGCUUUCAUUGUCGGCUCCUCUUGAAUCAAUGGAGCCUCGCCCGUGGCGGAGUACCGCUGACGUGAUACCUAUCUACGUCGUUGCGAAAAGCCCGUUUGUGAGCGAGGUUUAAUGACCAGGAAGAGAGAGAUGGUCCCCUCUGGGAGGGCAUCUCAUUCCGCCGGUCGCGUAGAUCGACCUCAAAUCAGGUAGGACCACCCGCUGAACUUAA
rnacentral:misc_RNA from 1 species